GUCAGACGAACGCUGGCGGCGUGCCUAAUACAUGCAAGUCGAGCGGACAGAUGGGAGCUUGCUCCCUGAUGUUAGCGGCGGACGGGUGAGUAACACGUGGGUAACCUGCCUGUAAGACUGGGAUAACUCCGGGAAACCGGGGCUAAUACCGGAUGCUUGUUUGAACCGCAUGGUUCAGACAUAAAAGGUGGCUUCGGCUACCACUUACAGAUGGACCCGCGGCGCAUUAGCUAGUUGGUGAGGUAACGGCUCACCAAGGCGACGAUGCGUAGCCGACCUGAGAGGGUGAUCGGCCACACUGGGACUGAGACACGGCCCAGACUCCUACGGGAGGCAGCAGUAGGGAAUCUUCCGCAAUGGACGAAAGUCUGACGGAGCAACGCCGCGUGAGUGAUGAAGGUUUUCGGAUCGUAAAGCUCUGUUGUUAGGGAAGAACAAGUGCCGUUCAAAUAGGGCGGCACCUUGACGGUACCUAACCAGAAAGCCACGGCUAACUACGUGCCAGCAGCCGCGGUAAUACGUAGGUGGCAAGCGUUGUCCGGAAUUAUUGGGCGUAAAGGGCUCGCAGGCGGUUUCUUAAGUCUGAUGUGAAAGCCCCCGGCUCAACCGGGGAGGGUCAUUGGAAACUGGGGAACUUGAGUGCAGAAGAGGAGAGUGGAAUUCCACGUGUAGCGGUGAAAUGCGUAGAGAUGUGGAGGAACACCAGUGGCGAAGGCGACUCUCUGGUCUGUAACUGACGCUGAGGAGCGAAAGCGUGGGGAGCGAACAGGAUUAGAUACCCUGGUAGUCCACGCCGUAAACGAUGAGUGCUAAGUGUUAGGGGGUUUCCGCCCCUUAGUGCUGCAGCUAACGCAUUAAGCAC
rnacentral:rRNA from 1 species